rnacentral:lncRNA from 1 species
GACACUAGCUCCUUUUCUAACUCAUUUUCAUGUACAGAUACAUCUUUAUCAGGAGGUCCAACAUCAUUAUGUUGUUUUUCCCGUUGGCCCAAGGAUGUUCCAACAUCCGACACAACAUCGUUAUGGUCACUAGUUUUCUCAGGAGACAGUUGUUUAGGAUCUUUGCCAAUACUCUCAUCACCGUUUUUUGAAUCAUCAUGGUCCAUAUUCUCAAUAAUAGCAGCAUUCAAGUCUUAUAAACCUAGGUUUUUGCAAGAUUCAGAUACUUGAACAUUUAGGAUUUCAUUAUGAUUACCUUUCUCAUCAGUAGAGGUUGCAACAUCAGUGACAAUCUUGAGACUUGCUUCAACAUCUGUAUUCUUGAAAUUUUUCACGGAGAUUCCAUCACUUGGUUCAACAACAGUGGAUAUGAAAGGGUUCUCUUUCUCGUACAAAUCAGGCAUGCUUAAU